AGAGCCGGACAGACCGCCGCUGCAGAAUUUUCUGCGGAGGAAAGUCCGGGCUCCGCAGGGCAGGACGCCGGGUAACACCCGGGAGGGGCGACCCUCUGACAGCGCCACAGAAAGCAGACCGCCCAGCAAUGGGUAAGGGUGAAACGGCGGUGUAAGAGACCACCAGCUGCACCAGCAAUGGCGCAGGCUAGGCAUACCACGUCCGGAGCAAGACCAAAUAGGGAAGGAGGCCUGCCCGGCCAUACUCCUUCCGGGUAGGUUGCUGGAGGGUGCGGGUAACCGUACUCCAAGAGGAAUGGCGGUCCUGCGGGCUUUAUGUCCGCACGACAAAACCCGGCUUAUCGUCUGGCUCUCUUU
rnacentral:RNase_P_RNA from 1 species